rnacentral:lncRNA from 1 species
AAAUGUAGGAAAAGAGAGGUUGUUCAACUAGAAAAGUAAGAGUUGCGCAAAGAAGAUGAAGGAAAUAUCUUUUUGAAGAGCAUUCAUUUAUUAACUGGAAAUCUCUGCCUUUUAUAGGCUUACAAACUCUAAAAGAUCCAAGACUCUACUUGACUAAAAACUAGGAACCAUAUCAGAAAAAGUAGCAACUGAAUCCAAAAAUAUAGCAACCUAACAAAGACUCUUUCAACUCUAGUGAAAGACUUAUUCAACUAACAGUAAAACGUAUCCUAUGCAGUAACUUAACAAAAC